GAUGAACGCUGGCGGCGUGCCUAAUACAUGCAAGUCGAGCGAACGGGCGAGAAGCUUGUACCUAUGAGGUUAGCGGCGGACGGGUGAGUAACACGUGGAUAACCUACCUAUAAGAGUGGGAUAACUUCGGGAAACGAGAGCUAAUACCGGAUAAAAUUUUGAAACACAUGGUUCAAAAGUGAAAGACGCUAUUGCAGUACCUAAUAGAUGGAUCCGCGCUGCAUUGGCUAGUUGGUAAGGUAACGGCUUACCAAGCCAACGUUGCAUAGCCACCCUGAGAGGGUGUUCGGCCACCCUGGAACUGAGACACGGUCCAGACCCCUACGGGAGGCAGCGGUAGGGAAUCUUCCGCAAUGGGCGAAGGCCUGACGGAGCAACGCGGCGUGAGUGAGGAAGGUCUUCGGAUCGUAAAACUCUUUUAUUAGGGAAGAACAUAUUUGUAAGUAACUGUGCACAUCGUGACGGUACCUAAUCAGAAAGCCACGGCUAACUACGUG
rnacentral:rRNA from 1 species